rnacentral:lncRNA from 1 species
UUUGUUGUUGUUCUCAUAUACAUAAAAAUAUAUAGUUUCAAAGAAGAAAAAAUAAAACUUCAUUUUAUUUUUACAUAUUAUAACAAUAAUCAUGUCUGUCAAAUUACAAACGUUUUUCCUUUUGUCCAUAAUAUAUAUAUAGUAUUGUUGAAAUAUGUGAAGUAUGGUAACAAUGUAAACAACAGUUUUAAUUUAUGCAGUGGAAGAAAACUGUUGGAAAAUGAUGUUCAGAAUGCUGAAAACACGGUUAAAGUGCAAACUAAUUUACAACAUGAUGUUGUGGAUGAUUUAGAUGUUGCAGGAAUUAUAAAGCAAGUAACAAAUGUGCGAAAGACAUUAUUAGAUUAUGCAUAUAACAAAUGGCAAAAUAUUAUGUAUCAUGUAGUUAAUAUUAUGGUACAAUUUUGUAUUUCCGGAAUUGAUUCUGAGAAGUUGUUAAUUGAAUUUUAUACGACAUGUAACGUAAUGGAUUUACAUCGACAACAUGAAAUUAAUAAAAUUAAUGCAAUAUUUGAACAAUAUUUAAGUUUAAUAGAUCUGAAGAAGUCGCAUUUUUUUUGUUGGUACAUUAAGUCAUGAAGAAAAAGGAUUAUUAAGAGAGUUAGAAAUGACAGCUAAGAGAAUGUUAAUGGAAUGGUAUGGUUUUCAGAUUGAUUUUUGGAAUAUCUGGUUUAAAAAACAAUUUGCAAUUUAUAAUAUACAAGAUGCAGAUUCGUAAAGCAGUGUAAUGUUUAUGUAUUAUAUUAUAUAUAUAUAUAUAUAUAUAUAUAUAUAUAUAUAUAUAUAUAUAUAUAUAUAUAUAUAUAUNNNNNNNNNNUAUAUAUAUAUAUAUAUAUAUAUAUAUAUAUAUAUAUAUAUAUAUAUGUGCGCGUGUAUUUGAAUAUAAUACACAUCAUAAUUACACUCUAUUUUAUUUUUUUUUUAAUCCUUUUUAACGUAUAUUUUUAUUUAUUAAAUUUAUAUAUUUAUUGUUUUUAAUCAUGUUGCAAUUCUGAAUGAUUGGUGUGAAACUAUGUUUUUACAUAUGUAUAUUUUUAAACAUGUCAGUUUGUUUUAUAUUUGAUAGAUAUAUUGAAAACUGUUUAUUUUCUUUUUAUUAUUAUCAAUUUAUUUUAAAUAAUGUUUUUUUUAAUGAUUUACUACAGUGAAAUAAAUAUAAAUAUUUGAAUUACUUGUUAAUUUGU